rnacentral:SRP_RNA from 1 species
GCCAGGUGUGGUGGUGCAUACCUAUAAUCCCAGCUACUCGGGAGGCUGAGACAGGAGAAUCACUUGAACCCAGGAAGCGGAGGUUGCAGUGAGCCAAGAUCAGGCCACUGCACUCCAGCCUGGGCAACAGAGUGAGACUCUGUCUCAA